rnacentral:pre_miRNA from 10 species
UAUCAGGUUGGUGCAAAAGUAAUUGCGGUUUUUGUCAUUGAAAGUAAUGGCAAAGACCGCAAUUACUUUUGCACCAACAUAAUACUU